rnacentral:ncRNA from 1 species
AGGGACUUAAAACAGCAGAAGCAGACGGUGGCCAUGGAAGUCCGAAUCGCAAAGGAGCAGGUAACAACUCACCUGCCAAAUCAAUUAGCCCUGAAAAUGGAUGGCGCU